rnacentral:lncRNA from 1 species
GUUGGUUUCCUUUUUACAACUGCCCAAGUCAUGAGUUCAUAGGGCCUGGAUGGCUGUACCGGAUUGCUCUCCAGCUGGUCUCUCUGCAUCCAGAAAUUUCUACAACCUACUGGGGUAAAAUCUUUCUCAACCCUGCUUUUCAUCAUCACAUCUUAAAUAUCUCGAGUUGGUUCCCUAUUGCCAAAAAAAAUCCAUUGUCCAUGUAGGGUUCUUCUGCCGAAACGAGGAAAGAGUGAGUUAAAUGUUGGUAGGUGAUAUAGAGAUAGUAAUUAGGCAAUAUAAUUCGAUGUUGUUGAAAGAGCUGAGCUAUGAAAUGCAUUGUGAUAAAGGGGCUGCCUGUGUAAGUAAAUGGGUAUAAUGAGGUGUAAAACUCCCUUUCUCUCUCUCUUUCUGCUUCAUAAGCCUUUCUGCUUCUCAAGUCCAGACCUGCUGUUUUUGGGGUUUCCUUCCAAUUUUUUUGCUGCUUCCCUGGGGCCUUGGCUCUUGGGCCUGCUGCCUCUUCCCACUCUACACCUUUGGAUUCCUUAUCUUUGGCUCCACCUUAUUGCUCCAUUCUCCAAAGACAAAUCCACAAGGCAUAGGAUUUUACAGAAUAUGGGGUUACAGAAACAGCAUAGGGAAGUGUAAAAGCCUAGAAGCUUCUUACAGACGCAGCCCCUUGUCUGUAGCUCCUGACUCCCACUUAAAUGUCUGUUGGAAGCACCCUGGGGUAGCAGAACCCAGCUCAGAAGAUGGGGCUUAUCCACCAUGCCUUUUCCUAACCUGACACCCACCCAGAUAAUCUUUUCAAUAUGCAAACUAGAGCGUAUCACCCCCUGCUCAGAGCCUUUCUGUGACCUCCCAUUUUGCUUCCCAGGACUCCUUGCUCCUUAGCCAGGUCUCCAGGUCCUCCGUGAUCAGGUCUCUGCUCUUCUGCAGCCUCAUCUCUGCCAUUCUUCACCUUUUGUGCUCCAACCCAAUCUGGUUUUCUUCUCAUGCUUUGAACACCCCAAGUCUGUCUGCUUCAGGAGCUUCGUACUGGCUAAUCAUUCACCACAGCAUACUCCCAUCUAUACGGCUGGCUCUUAUAUUAUGGGUCUCAGCUAAAAUGUCAUCCCUUCAAAGAGACCUUCUUGGACCACCCCCGCCAUUCUCUAUCCUAUUUCUCUCUUUUAUUUUCUUUGAAGCACUUACCCACUUUCAGAAACUAUCUGGCUUGCUCAUGUGUUUGUCUCUAGAUUGUCUACUUCCCCUCCUAGACUGUACUCUCCACAAGAGAGCAAAGCUGUGUCUGUUGCAUUCACUGUUGUCUUCCCAGAAGCAAGCAGCAUGCUGGAGACCCUCAAAUACAUGUGAAAUGAAGGGACACCUUGUGUUAUUUCACCUGUUUCCACCUGGUUCCCAAGUGGCAAGCUUGCAUUGAGGUUACAAAGUGGCAAAGCUGGGAUAUCACAUGAUGUCACCAUGAUGCUAUAUGAAAUGUAACAUUAAUUGAGUACCUAUGUGACCAGUUCUUUAAUUCUGUAAGUGAACUCUCAAAAAACCCUAGGUAAGUAUUAUCAACUCGAACUUUAACGGAUGAGGAAACUGGAAUUUUUUAAAAAAUGACUUAACCAAACAUCACAGAGCUGUAAACCAGGAUUUGAAUGGGUGAGCUGCACUCAGCCUUCAUCUCAAGUCAGUUUGCCUCUUUCUCCAAGAAGCCACAGUUGAUCCUGACCACAUCACAUAUGAGUUGCCUGGAUUGCAGUCAUUCAUUCACUAAGCAUCUUUUAGGAGGUCACAUGCCAGGCACCGUGUUAGGUAAUGAUUUCUCCAAGUCACAGGAGCCGUGGUUCUGACUUUAGAAAGUUUCUCAUCUGAUGGGAGGGCAGGCAAGUAAAUCAGUAAGGGUGGUCCCUGUCGGGACACUGGUUGAGAAAUACCCAGGAACACUCUGAUUGAGAAAUACCCAAAGUGCAAAGUGACAGGGACUAGAGGCAUCUCCACUGGACCAGAGAGCUCUGGAUUCGUCUUGAGCUAAGUCUCUGGAGGUAGGUGUCAGCUACAAGGAGAAAAGCUGUAUAUUUUGAGAUAUGGGAUGCAGGGCCUUUUAGUUCCAUAAAUAAGAGAACUAUGGUGUGAAUACCACAUGCCCUGGGCUGAACUAAGUGGGCUCUAGGGGAAGGUAUACUGGGCAGGGAGUUUGGAGAACUGGUUUCUGUCUAAUCCUUCUCUAACUCUGUGACCUUGAAUGCAUCAUUUCCCCUCUGAGUCUCAGAUUCUCUUUCUGGCUGGCAUUUAAUGAAACCUAAAUAUUCUAGACCUUCUACUUGUUCCAUAAGUGCUCAGUCCUACACUCACUCUCCUCUGGCACCAAUAUACUGAUUACUCAUUUUAUGCCCAGCAGAGCACUGCGUGUUUUGAAAUAUACAAAUAGUGGGAAACGAAAUCUUUGUUCUGGAUGCAGUUAUAAUUUGGAAAGCGAGGAAAUAAAUUAUAACAAGGGGAAAAAACAGACACAGAGGGAUUGAAAUGCAUAACAAUAGAGAUGAAACACGAAGAGUGAUAAAUGAAGAUUGAGUGUGCACACCUUCUGGAGGAGCCCUGAUUGAGUAUUUUAACACAGAAGUGGGUGAGAGCAAAGUUGUGUCAGAGUAAGACAAUGACACCAAGCCAGAUGGUUAUCAAAAUCCACAGGAACAAAUGAAGAGAACCAGAAAUUGCAAAUAAGAAGGACAGAGUACCAGAGAGGAGAGAGAGGUACAGAGAAUUAUGGAGGUGGCUUCCGUUGAGUAUGCAGCUAAGUAAUGAUUAAUGCAUACAUAUAAGAAACUACUGGAUGACAGAGAAAGAACCACAAGCAAUUUAAAGAAUACUACUAAAGUCAUGCCGUGUGACUUCUGAAGCUAGCUCCUAAGAAGUCCUUGCAGCUUCUGCCUGCGACUCUUAGAACACUUGCUUUGAAGGAUGCCAGAUGCUGUCUUAAAAGUCUGAGCACUCUGAAACCAUCAUGCUGUGAGGAAGCCCAAGCUAACCACAUGGGCAAAAAAGAUGCCCUCUGACUGCCACCAUUUGAGACACUCUAAUUAAGAACUGCCUCAUUGAGCCCAUGAGGCCCUGUGAAUGAUAAUAAUAAAUUGUUUUUAACCAC